rnacentral:lncRNA from 1 species
GUAAUACUGAAGUCGUUCAAAAUCAUCCAUUUCUAUUUAGUAUAAUCAGUGCUCUAACUCCCCCUUGCACUGGUCUGGAGCAAUGAAGUGGUGACGCAGGGUAUUAACCACAAAUGACCUCGAAGUCCCUCGGCAUAAUCGCAAAACUUUUAGAGGAACAACCACUGUAGGUUACUGUAUCUGAGAGCCUUCAUCACUCAUCCGGUUUAUCACUGUCCGCUCUGCACCCUGCCCUACCUAUGUUGUCAGAGACGGUGUGUAAUGGAAAGACAAACAGCCCAGGACAGUGACGAAUGGACCAGGGUUGGACACCAAGAUACAACCAGUUAGGCUUAGGUAGAAGUAGGGAAACAGAUCUUGAAUCAGUUGUUAAAUAAAAACAAUUAAAGUAAAAAGUAAUCCCAUUGGACUGAGAGCUUGUGGGGCCAGUCAUGUGACGUCUUGGAACAACCAGUUCUUUGUGAUAAGAAUCUAGCAGUUAUGUAAAAGAGAAAGUAAAGAAAGCUCCCAGUUUACCUUCAUGUUGUUCUUUUGAAGAUAACAAACCACAAAGUGCAAGAAUGCACUUUUUUUUCUCUUCCAGCAAAGCCCUGGAUCUUUCCUUGUUCCAGAUGUUCAACUUUGACAGGCCAGGGAUGUGUGGCCAGAGGAUGGAGGUGUGGACUGAUGUCGUUGAUGCCACAGCCUGGCAACUACAGGAGACCAUCUCUAUCAGCAAAGCCCUGGAAGCCCUUGUUCCAGAUGUUCAUCUUUGACAGGCCAGGGAUGUGUGGCCAGAGGAUGGAGGUGUGGAGUGAUGUCGUUGACAUCACCCUCCACACCCUGGCAACUACAGGAAAUCAUCUGUUCCAGCCGUCACAGACACACACACACACACACACACACACACACACUUCCAAAUAACUACCAUCAACAGAAUUCUUUGAAAGUGGAGGACCAGUUGUGCUUUUACUUUCGCAGUUCCAUGCAAAUAGGCACAACGAGUUCUGAGUGAUGGGUUUUAUGGUGUGUGAAGCAAUGGUGGGCAAUACACUGUCUGUGAUGACUACUUAAAGCUUGUGACUCUACAAACUUAUUGGAUGCAUUUUCAGUUCAGUUUGGUUGUUUCUGAUUAUUUUGUGCCCAAUAAAUAUCAGCACCCCUACUUAAAAGUAAAGAAAAUAUAUUACUUGUUAAACUAAAUCUCUUUCUCUGAGCAAUUGUGUUUGUAUAAGAUAAUAUCAUUUCCAAAUGUUUUGCUCAGUAUUUGAAUUAUUUAUUUUAUACGGUCAUUAUUGCUCAUCUUUAUCAAGGGUGUUGUGUGUUAAUCUGGUUUAAUGACCUGUUAAAUCCCCCUCCAAUGCAUAGUCACCACAAAGACACCCAUCAAUCAAAAAU